rnacentral:lncRNA from 1 species
CCGGGGGAUUAGUGGGGGCCAGGAGCAGCCCACUCUGCUUCCCUCGCCCCGGCCCCAGCCGUGUCACUCGGGGUAUGGGGGAAGGGAUCCACCCCCGCCCUCGGCAGAAGCGGAGCAGCCCGGCCCCAGCCCGUUCCGCUCUGCCAGAUCCCAGCCGUAGAGCUCCGCUUCCCGCUGCAGGUGAGUGCGGGACCUUUCCCCAACCCCACCCUCCCAGCGACACAGCUGGGGCUCGGGCAAGGGCAAGGAAAGCGGAGCGGGCUGGGGCUGCAUCGCUCUGCUUCCCGCUGCCUGUGAGUUUGGGGGGCACCAUUUUCCCAACCUCCCCACACUCACCAGCAGCAGGAAGUGGAGCAGCCCAGCCCCAGCCUGCUCUACUCCAUCAGUUCCCAGCCGCGUUGCUCUGCGUCCUGCCGCAGGCUUGAGUAACUGCUGCCACGACAACCAUGAUCUUGUCCCCAAGUGCAGGAGGGUGAGGAGUGAUCAUUGACAGAUAUGGUAGGUGGUCUUUGAAGCCAGUGCAGAAAAACCCAGUCACCACAGCUCAACUCCAGACUUGACUAAUGGACUCUUACUUUGUUGAUUACAAGUAAGCCUAUGAAUGAAGUACUGUGGAUUCACUUCCUGGCACUUUCAGCCAGGUCCCAGAAUAACUCUGCCAACCAGCCUUAACCCUCCCUCCCAACCAACUUCACCCACCUGCUGGAAUUCAAACAUUCCAUGGUGGCUCCUAAAGGGCCUUGUGAUGGGGUGGGCAUACCCUGCACUAGAGAAGAAAGAGUUAAUCCCACACUAUGGUGGAAAUCCCACCUCCCAGGCCGUGCUGGGCAUGCUCCAUCUGCUGCCUCAGUAUAAGAGAGCAGCCAAGCUCAUUCUGGGCUGACUGCUGGAGGGGAAGUGCCAGCUGAAGAACCGCCACAGCACUCGCCUGCAAGAGCCAGAGACUCUGUGAGCCGGAUUGGAGGCCUGGAGCCCAAGGAGCGCUGGAGAACCAUCCACACUGAAGAGUUCAGAGACCCUGAUGCAGGAUCACCCAGAGGAUUCAAGGGGCCUGGGGCAAAGCAGGGGAGCUGCGGCGCUUGUACUCACCCAGUGGUGGUCUGGGUCUUUGGUGGCAUUUCAGUGGCAGGAGGCCUUUCAGUCGCUCCGCAUCUUCAGCAGCAAUGAAGGGCCCCCCGCCGCUGAAAUGCUGCCAAAGACCUGGACUGCCACCAGGCCAGGGCUCGUGGGGCCCCUGCGGAGCCUGGAGCAAAUUGCCCUACUUGCCCCACCCCUGGGCAGCCCUGCCCUGACUCCACCAAGACAGCAGAGUCUGGAACUAUGGUAGGAAGUGACCCAGGGAGGGUGAGCAAGUGGUAUCUUCCACCAGAGUGAGGUCAGCGUGUUUCAGUGGGAUUCUCUGCUGACCCAGUGACGGACUGCUCC